UUUGCAAUUUUAAAUAUUAGGGAAAGGGUUAUUUAUCAAAUUUUUAUCAUGCAAUAGUAUAUUGUAUUUGAUAAUAAGAAUCGCGGUUAAGUUCAUUCCGAUUGCAUCUCACAGAGCUGUGCGGUAUUUACGGUUGCGCGCGCGGCGCUUCUCGAUAAUUCCACUUACCAACUCCGACUUGUACGAGUACACGGUCGAUGAAAAUGCUUCUGCAUUUAAAACAGUUGCAUCCGCAAAUACAAUCAAGGUAAGAGUCAACACAGGUUGGAGAAGACUUGGCUGAUACUUUUUGUGAGUGUGAGAAUACGAAGCGUCGCAUCAAAUAAUAAGCAUAUCCUAUGGUACAGUAUUAUUUAAAUCUUGAAUAAUCAUUGAUCAUUAUUCAGAUCGGAUUUUAAGCAAUUAAUACAAACAAAUAAAUGUAUAAAUAAAUUUCUAAAAACAAUUAUAUCUUCUAAAAUUCCAAUUGUGAUAAAUUUUUUACUUUAUUAAUUAUUUUUUAAUAAUUUAGUCUAUUAUAAAAUAAAUACAAACUAAUCUAAUUUAUAAUUAAAACCAGUGUCAAUUUGCAUAGUUACAAAAAUGUAGUACAUGUAUAUUAUACGUUUAUUAUAUAACAUUUAUUAUAUAAUCUAGCAUAUUUUUUUUCUUUCAUAUCACAAUGGCAGUAAUUUUUUUCUCUGUGAAAAAUCUUUGUGCUCCGUCGAUUAUUGUACAUGGGUCGUAAGAAUAGUUUCCUAUCGCCUUUUCGUCAGUAAAUCACGGUCAGGAGAAGAUUCGCAAGGACGCACGUAUAUUUCCGAUUCGCAUUAGACGAAGGAUAGAAUAGGAAAGGAAGGCUCCCCCAUGAACAUCCCUUGGCAAGGAAGCAUGGGGUUGCUAUGGCGACCGUUUCGAAUUCCAUAGACACACGUAACUCCCUCCAGCCCCCGCCAUAUGAGAAGCGCUUGCACGCAUCCUACGCGAUCCUGAUUGGACGUUAUUUUUUUCCGAUAAGGGGUGCACAUGUCUCCUACGAAACAUUUUUUGAGCAUGGCCGUGUGCGUGGGCGAAUGUCGCCGUGUGCGUGUAGUUGGUGAAGGGCGGUUCGAGGGUGGAGAGUCUUCUUCGUGUCACACGUACCCACAGUUUGUUUCUGGUCUUCUAUGACAUUUUUACAAUAUUUUUCGAUUUUCAAAAACAAGAAUUUGUGCACGCUUUUCACGAGUAAAUGUUAGCGGUGCUAUUAUAAUUGAGUUACGAUUUGUUAUUGUUUGUAUUGUUUGUAUCUUACUUGUGGGAUUUGAAAAACUGGCGAGUUGUUUAUGGGGCAAUUAAGUUAUUUUAAUUUUCAUAGAUCCCAGUAAUUAUCAAAUAUGCGCGAAACAAUAGAUGCGUAAAGUAUAAGCCGAAACUUCUUGGAUAUCCGAAGCUCGGCAGACAAAUUGCGGAAACCAGCCCGCGGCGGAAUGGAAUUAAUUUUGCCAGCCCAUCAAUGUCGAUUGAUUGAUCGGUGCUCACACAUUUUCCCCUCUUUGACGAUGACAAGGAGCGGAUCGUCAGCUCGAAGAAAACCGAUCCUCGCGUGAAAGGUGGCGACGGCUCCGGUCCAUUUCGCAUCCUGUCACUCGCGAAUUCCGCGGAUGCCGAAGCCACCCUCACACCCGCGGGGCGUGUUUAUUUGGCCGGAAGUCCGUUCAUAAAUCUGGCUGUUUUCAAGCCUCACUCUGUGAAAUAUGAUAAUAGAUGUGAGAGCGAUGGAGGACCGUCGUGUAUAAGCGAAGAUAAAUCCCGGCAGAAGAAAAGAGCUCGCGGACAUCAACCUCCUGCGGAAAGAGAGAGAGAGAGAGAAACUUCAACCCCUUGCCCGUACGAUUUUGCAAAAGUAACCGAGGCAAUAGCACCCCCCGCCCGCGUUCGGGUACAACACUCGCGAGCGCGAGUUUUCCCCUGGAAAGUUUGCGGAUUACUCAUGCGAAGGCUGCGACGCGUUGUGUCGGAUAGUGAACUCGCUGAAUAAAUAUGUUUCACAGUUUGCCGCGAACAUGUUCCUCCUCCCCCUUUUUUUUUCCAUAUCCGAUUUUUUCCAAUCCGUUUCGGACCGCUUUCAAUUAAUUGUUAGCUCCGAUAUUCGCUAUUGGGGUCCUGAUAUGUUUUCGCGAAUUAGUUUUAAAAGUUAGUCGGGCGCGACUCUUCUCCCCAAUGUGACAUUACUUUUAUUUCACUCCCAUUUUAUAAACUUUGAUUAUGUAUAUAGAUAAAUUUUAUCCCUGAUAGAAAAAAGAAAUAGACAGUGUUCGUAUUAAUCUAUUCUAAGGAAUUAGCGUUUAUUUGCAAUUUGGAAUAAUCAUGCCAUUUAAAUAGUUUUAACAGUUUCAAUAGUUUAAAUUAGUUUUACUCGGGCAUUUUCGUUGCUAACAUCCUCCAUUAUCUCCUCUACUUUCUUAUCGCAGAUGAGAGUUCUGACAAGACGUUUUUCUUGUUCUCAUUUAAGGAAGCCCGGCACUAAGUAGAGGUUGAAUCAAGUUAAGGUAGGUCGUUGUUUGUUACCCCACCUCUCCCACCAUCUCGCUUUAACCAAGUUCUUCCAUUCCUUCUUUCCUUCUUCCCGAGCGCUUUCUCUCUUCCACUAAAGCAACGGGCACGCGCUUCUCAUCUCGUCCUGUCUCGCGCCAUUCGUUCCGCAAUCUUCUUAAGACUUUAGGGCAAGCAAGAAGGGAGGUGAAACCAGCAGAUGGGGUAGAGUAUUAAUAAAAACUCGCAUCGCAUCUUAUCAUCCCUCGCGCGAGUCCUCUCGACCGCCGUGUGAGAAACGCUUACCGCGCGCGCCACUUUGCCUCUUUAUCUCUGUCACUCCUUCCCUCAAGGAGAAUAUUGUUUAACCCCCGAAUAACUCUCACGCCUGUGAUUUACGCGCGACGUCCUUCAUUUAUUUACUUAUUAAAUUCGUGUCAACCUUCGCGCGCGCGCUUUCUCCCCACGAGAUACGUAUUGUGGAAAAAUUCACCCUAUUAUCUUUGAUGCACUACCGUUUAAAUGUUCGGUAAUGAUAAGCUUAUAAUUAUAAUUAAUGAAAUAUAGCAAAGAUAGAAAAAGCUACCUCGAGAUAAAGUUUUAUUUUUUUAUAAUGUUAUAAACAGAUUUUUAGAAGUAAUUAUCAAAACUUUAAAUUCAAUUUCCCAAUUUUUAGAUUUAAAAUUUUAAUUCUAAAUAAAGUUAGUAAUCUCGGAAGUAUAAAUUAUUGAUAAUUUUUUAUAUCGUUAUACAAUAUAGAUGCAACAUUCUUAAGGUUAUCAAAAUCACUGCUAAAAAA